rnacentral:rRNA from 1 species
CCUGGGAAUGGCGUUUUGAACUGGCAGUCUAGAGUGCGUCAGAGGGGGGUGGAAUUCCACGUGUAGCAGUGAAAUGCGUAGAGAUGUGGAGGAACACCGAUGGCGAAGGCAGCCCCCUGGGAUGACACUGACGCUCAUGUACGAAAGCGUGGGUAGCAAACAGGAUUAGAUACCCUGGUAGUCCACGCCCUAAACGAUGUCAACUGGUUGUUGGGGGAGUGAAAUCCCUUUAGUAACGAAGCUAACGCGUGAAGUUGACCGCCUGGGGAGUACGGUCGCAAGAUUAAAACUCAAAGGAAUUGACGGGGACCCGCACAAGCGGUGGAUGAUGUGGAUUAAUUCGAUGCAACGCGAAAAACCUUACCUACCCUUGACAUGUCCGGAAUCCUGCAGAGAUGCGGGAGUGCCCGAAAGGGAAUCGGAACACAGGUGCUGCAUGGCUGUCGUCAGCUCGUGUCGCGAGAUGUUGGGUUAAGUCCCGCAACGAGCGCAACCCUUAUCAUUAGUUGCUACGCAAGGGCACUCUAAUGAGACUGCCGGUGACAAACCGGAGGAAGGUGGGGAUGACGUCAAGUCCUCAUGGCCCUUAUGGGUAGGGCUUCACACGUCAUACAAUGGUCGGUACAGAGGGUUGCCAAGCCGCGAGGUGGAGCCAAUCCCAGAAAGCCGAUCGUAGUCCGGAUUGUUCUCUGCAACUCGAGAGCAUGAAGUCGGAAUCGCUAGUAAUCGCGGAUCAGCAUGUCGCGGUGAAUACGUUCCCGGGUCUUGUACACACCGCCCGUCCCCCCCAUGGGAACUGGAGAGAG